CGGAAACAACGUCAUUGGCUGGAGCGGCGCUUCGGCCACCUCUCUCCGUUCCGAGUGCCUCUUUGGAUUUGGGUGCCCAGCGGCAACCAUGAGACGCGUGGUGAUCGUGAUGAACACCUAGGGCAAGCCCCGCCCCCUCAAGUUUUAUGACUUCCGGGUCCCCGAAAUCUCCUCCUUUUUCUCUCUUCUGCCUUGAUAUUUGCAUUCCAAUUGGAAUCGUCUCUUUAGAUUGACUGCUCUUGCAUGCUCUUCUCUUGAAGUCCAGCCCCCCGGAGAAACAGCAGGAGCUCAUACGCAGCGUCUUCACAGGUCGGAUGCCUGUAAUCCCAAUAAUAUGGAAAAGAACCCUCAAUUCACCCCUCUUACUCCGUUCGUUUUAUAUCUUCGCUACAAAAUUUCCAUUAAUAUUUUUACGUCAUUAUGCCGUAGUUUUAUCGGGAAGACCGGACAAUGUUAGCAAUUUCGUCGAAGCAGAUGCAAUAUUCGGCUCAGUAAUCUUGUCCUCUCUUUAUCUCUCGUUGCAGAAAGGAGGAAGCCACCAAGAGGAGAGCAUAAACGUCUAUAUGUUUGAUUUUUUGUUACAAUUGUACCUCUAAUUGCUGAAUAUAAUUCCUCCUUUUAAAGUUGGAUUUUUUAUCAGAGAAAAAUUGUUGAUGAUUUAUAGAGCUAAGGGCCCGUAAAAUUCCACAGACAAUGUUGGCCAUUGCUUAGAAAUUUUGUAGAUAGAUUGUGGCUUUGAUGUUUGCUCUCCAAGAAAAUUCCCAUCUUUCCUGCCAUCUAUCUUAUCAAUCUGGUGACUGCCAAUGCCAUGGUUCAUCUUUCUUGCAGGGUACUCGGCUGGUAUACAAGCACCUCGCCACGCUGUAUUUUGUUUUUGUGUUUGAUGGUUGUGAAAACGAACUACCUAUGCUCGACCUCAGUCAAGUCCCUGUUGAGACACUGGACAGAUGCUUCAAGAAUGUCGGUGAGCUUGACAUAGUGUUUAACUUCAACAAGGCCGAGACGGGCUCCACAAGAUUUCAUGUAAACUAUGCGAACGUGGAUUUCUUAUUCCCAGAUGCAUACUGUCCUAGAUGAAAUCAUAUUUGGAGGCCAGGUGCUGGAAACUAGUUCCUAGCAAGUGAUUAAAGCAGUCGAGGAAAUCUCAAGGCUAGAGAAAUCUUCCAAUUGAAUCAGCUGGGUGCCAAAGUCUGUAACCAGAAGGUUUGGCCGCUAGUCUGCUGCAAAUUUCAGGAUGUGGUUCCAGGACCAGUGCAUCACUGUGUAGGUUUCUUCAAUCUUCUGCAUUUGAGUUGAUAACAUCAACAGAUUGGGAGCUAGUUUGAGCCAUGGUGAAGGGAAACAGGACACAUUUAUUUCACUGAGGCCAGACCGCACCUGGUAUAUUUGCUUACAUUGCUAGGUACUAUGGAGGCUGGGCUGCCCCCUUUUAUAUGUUUACUGGGUUCGUCUGGACUGAUUCAGUUUUUAGCAACUUGGAUACUGAUGGAUUUUCCAGAAUUUAAAGGUGGUCGUGGAUCGGUCGGAUCUUAUCCAUGGUGCCAGAGUUUGAACAGGACUGUUCUUGCGUUGCCAUGGAGGAAUACGAAGGGAUCUCCUUUUCCCUUGCUUCUCUCCAUCUUCCAGCUUACGUUACUUGGAUUCCAACCUUGCCCUGCGUUUUAAGGGAAGACGGAGCGGAGCAGGUCAAAGGCCAACCCACGCCAGCCAGUAGUAGUCAUUCAUUCAGUUUACCUCUCUUCUCCACCACUCGCUCUUGCUUCCACGCCGGAGAUGCUCGAUCGAGCCUCGUGUGGCUCAGUCGUAGCCCUUUUGCUUUACAAAUGGGCAAGCGGAG